UGUUGGUUAUAGUUUUUACUUUUACUCUUAAUAUUGCCUGGGAUCCUACAAUCCCAUUUCUUAUAGUCCGUGGUAGAAAUGGACCAAGUUUUAGUUUUUGAACUAAUGUCCCCUGUUCUGUUAAAGUUUCUCCUCAAAUAUCCCAACCAAUAGGAAAGCUGCAUUAGUUGCAAGUGCGCUCCUGUAUUAAGGUAAAAAUGUAUAAAUACUAAUUUUUUCUGUAACAUUAUUCAAAAACAAUCUGAUUGCCUUACUGCACGAACAAACCUCACAAAAACAUCAGAAUGCGUUUUAUUUUAUUGCUGUGUUUUGUGGGGCUUGCCCUCACUAGGCCACCAAGGCCCACCAAGGCCUCAGCAGCAGCUCCUGCUUCCAAUCCUGAACCAUUAUAUGCUGAUGCUGUUAUCGACCAAAAUGAGAGCGUUGUCAGUUCUGGUAAGGUUGAGUGGAGAGAUGUUUACGCUCGAGGACUUACUCCUUGCGGAAGGGCCGAUGGAAGACGCCCUUAAAGAAGAAUCUCAAAAUAUAUUGUAUCAAUCCUUUGCCCAGCUCUAAUUAAAAAUAGAAGGAAUUAGAUUUAAAUUCUUUCCUACGUUAAAUUAUAUUUUUAAACCUACAAAUAAUUUCAAAGAACAUAUUAAAGCUAUGUAACAGCCAUCUUCUUGAGAACCGACUUUAAAGGAACUGCAAGUGUAAUGUUAAGUGACCUCCAUGAUAGCAAUACUCAAUUUAUCAUUGAAACCUUAAUCUGAUCAAAAAUCUGGAAGAUAAUGUCGUCUUUCUGACUCGAAAAGUUUUGAUUUAUGUUUGUGAAUUUCUCCAUUUUUCUCCAACAGCAAGAUAUGCGCAAGGAACCGCACAAAUGAAAAUAAACAUUUUUAUAAACUGCUCUAACAAUACUGGAUUAGACAAAGCUUUUAAAGUUACCUAGCUUUGUGAAUCAGGUCAAUUGAUAUGUUUGUAUGAAGAAUAACAUGUAAUUACACUUACAGUCCCAUUAAAGUUUCGCCAGAAUAGCUCUCAACAAUUAAUAUAUGAAAAUGGCGUCGAAAGUAAAGGCUUCAAAAAUAUUAAAACUAAAAAUCUAAAACAUUACAACUGAAUCAGAGGCGUAGUCAGGGGGGCUAUGGGAGCUACCCCCCCCCCCUUCCUUA